rnacentral:misc_RNA from 1 species
CUGGGACUCACCGGAAUCCAACGUCAGGCCGACAACGACUGGCGCAGAGGAGGCAGACCUCUCCUCUUCAAAACUCUUCAUAACAGAGUCUAGAUCCUGAGUCGUCGCGUCAGGAUCCGACUCGUCUAGAAUAUCCAAUAAAUCAUCCCUUAUUUUCUUCGCCUCAGGCAAAUCAAACUCAGCCUCGACCUCGUCCUCCCUGACACGCUUCUUGUUGCUAUGCUCCUCCAUAGCAAUAUAACAGAGAAACCUUUACACAGCAAAGUAGGGCUAGGGCUUUGAUUUUCUUGCAGUACUUGGGGAAUAAUAUGUUCUUCGGUUGUGAGGUGGGGUGGCAAGGUUAUGAGCUUAUAUACAAGAAACACU